GGAAGGGAUUGUAGCUCAGUGGUAGAAGGUUCAAAAGCAUCAGGUAGCAGGUUAUGUGAAAGUCUCUCUCUGCCGCAAACCUGCUACAAGUCAGAGACUAGAUAAUAUUGAUUGACAAAUCAUCUGGCCUGGUGUACAGCAGUUUCCUAUGGGUUGCAUCCAACUAAGUUUUGCCCAGAGUGAUUUAGUCAUGUCCAUGAAUUUCAGAGGGUCUUCUCUGAGAAUGACUAAUCCUCAAUACAAUCCCAUGUUUCAAAGAGCUAGGUUCAUUGUUUGCUAUAUUAAACAACUUAAAUAGUGCCUACAUGCCAUGGGAUUUUGAAUGACAUCAUGUUAGUGCAAAUACACUCUCCGGGCCUUAGGUGUUGAUGUUGCUCACAGGAUACUGAAGAAGAAUCUUUCUCUAAUGCCAAUCAACUCUCUAAUGCAUGUUUGAUUGAGUGAUGUCUCUGUAUUAGGGAAGAGGCAGCUCCUCCAGUUUUUCUUGGCACUGCUUCAUUAGUAACUGCAAAGCAGUUUGCACGAAACAAGUCUGGAAAAGACUAGCAAUAAGGAUUUCAAUAUGUAUCAUUGAAUCCUGAAGCAUUUUACCCAUCUAGCUACAUACUCAUUAUUAGAGCCUCAUAUUUUUUGCACCCAAAAGGGAUAGGCUAGAAAUUCUUUUUUCUUUUCUUAAACACACAUAAGGAAUGAAUAGAAAGGGGAUAAAUGAGCUGUAACGAUUGCUGAAGUGGUCCAGAUUAAGCCAGCAGUGCCAAGAUGAAUUACACCUGUCAAGAAGCCAAUAGGAAGUGUGUCAUUUUUCCAUCAACCAAACGCUGGCUGAAAAUGUGAGUUCUUAUUUCUCAGUCUAUUAUCAGCAUGUGUUUAUGGCAAGCACUUGUAUUGACCUAGAGCUGCAUCACAAGAAGACAGGAAUAUAAAAAGGAACGGAACUUUGUGGAAGACAGUUUGACUUCAGACAGGGGUUAAAAUACCAGGCUGACAUAACACAUUUCCUUUGGGAAUGAUCAAAAAUCCUUUUGAACCAAUCUGGGGGAAAGGAAUGGGCAGAGUGGGGUCAGGACUUGUUCCACAUCUGCCACUGUGCGUAUGUGAAAAUAAAAGUGUGGGCAGAGGGAUAAAAUGGAGCUUUUGUGGUAUAAAACGUUGUUGGAUUUCAGCUGGAAGCUACCAGCCAUGUGCUGAUUGGAAACAAAGUAGUAUGUCAACCCCAAAUUUUUUACAGGCACAAAGAGACUCAUGUACAGUGGUACCUCGGGUUACAUACACUUCAGGUUACAGACUCUGCUAACCCAGAAAUAGUGCUUCAGGUUAAGAACUUUGCUUCAGGAUAAGAACAGAAAUCAUGCUCCGGCGGCGCGGCGGCAGUGGGAGGCCCCAUUAGCUAAAAUGGUGCUUCAGGUUAAUAACAGUUUCAGGUUAAGAACGGACCUCUGGAACGAAUUAAGUACUUAACCCGAGGUACCACUGUAUAACCCCACAAUGCCACCAUGAGCCCAAACAAUCAGGAAGAAACAAUAGAAAUGAUGUUGGGAGGGGCCCUGAAUCCAUUCACACACUUGAUACAUUCUAGCUCAAAAGCAUAUUGCUAUGCUAUGCUGAUUGAACAAAAUAUAAGAACAAAGGAAGGUUUCAGGCAGAAAUACCUAAAAAUCAAUAAGGAAUCAUUCUGGUUUGGAGGAGGACUCAUGAGUCAUCUGGCUUGCUCUCUUCUCCCCAGGUCAACUUCAAGAGAAUCCAUUUCUGCUAGUUUGUUAUAGGAGUUGGAUGUACACUCCACUGAUUGGCUGGAAGCUUAUGAUGACAUAAAUCCAUCAUUCUUUAAAACAGUUCAUCAACUCUAGAAACAUGACUGUUGUUUUUUUUAAGGCACAAAGUCAGCAGUUAAAUAAGUAUAGGUGUGCAAACAGUGCUUUAAACCAAACAAACUAGCAGAAAACCAGUUUGAAAUGCAGGAGGAGGAACAAAACUAAAGAAGAAAGCUACAUUUGAUGUGGAGGGCAGGAUAGGUAUAAUCUGCAAUGGAAAUUCAGAGUGGAGAAAAUGAGCUCUCCCACUGAGCCAAAAAGACAACUUUGCUGGCUCCUUUUUUAAUUUAAUUUAUUGUAUUUAUUAAAUUUGCAUAUCACCCUUCAUCCAAAGAUCACAGGGUGCUCCCCAACAUAAAAAUAUAAAAUGAGAACACAAAAUGCAUAACAAAACAAAAGCAAACCAAUAAGCCCCCCAAAAACAUAUUUAAAGGGCCAUAGAAUGUUAAUUAGCCAAUGGACUGGUUAUAGAGAAAGAGUUUCACCAGGCACCUAAAGAUAUAUAAUGAAGGUGCCAGGCAAGCCUCCUUGGGGAGAGCAUUCCACAAAUGGGGAGCCAAUGAAGAAAAGGCCUGUUCUCAUGUUGCCACCCUCUGGACCUCUUGGGGAGGAAGCACAUGAAGAAGGGCUUCAGAUUAUGAUUGAAGGGUUUGGAUUGGUUGUUAAGCUACCUUUGCAAUCCCCCAUGUUAGGUAAUAGAAGAUCCUUAUAUGGUGAGUAAAAAGUAUUAACCACUACAGUGGUACCUCGGGUUAUAUACGCUUCAAGUUACAUAUGCUUCAGGUUACAGACUCCGCUAACCCAGAAAUAUUACCUCGGGUUAAGAACUUUGCUUCAGGAUGAGAACAGAAAUCGUGCUCCGGCAGUGCAGCGGCAGCAGGAGGCCCCAUUAGCUAAAGUGGUGCUUCAGGUUAAGAACAAUUUCAGGUUAAGAAUGGACCUCCGGAACGAAUUAAGUACUUAACCCGAGGUACCACUGUAUUCUCUCUCUCUCUCUUGGCAACCAGAGAACUAAAUUUCUUCCUUUGCUUUUUCUUGUUUGGCUUCUUGGUGCAUAUUUUCACAUUUCAUUCUCUCCUCCUCCAGCCCCUCUUUACAGUCGAAAAUUAGGAGAAAAACCUCAGAGGUAGCAAGAGAGCUGCCUCUCUUGAGAAACCUUGAAGUGUCAUUAGUUGCCAUGCAAAUCUUACAUGUCACUUGACAAAGUCUUUGAAGACACUCGUGUUCAACAUCCGUUUUUACAACAGCAAUUAAGAGGAAUAAAAAAAGACACAGAGUUGCAGUCCUUUCCAACUGGGCUUCCUUCCAGGUGUAUGGCAGCCCUUGCUCUUCAAAUCACUGCUAAUCAGCCACACUUCAUCACAGGGAUCUUGGCACAUCAAAUCUCCCUUUCUAUUAGAAUUCAAGCUGAUGGGAAAGGUCACUUCAGUAAAGAUCACUGCAAGAUAAAAUCUUGCCUUAAGUAAGGGCACAUACACAUGGGUGGUUUAAAACUCAGAGAGGUCUUUCUCCCCUGCUAUGCUUCAAGUUAUGUUUUGCAUUGCUGAACACACUAUUGCCUGAUUACCUGUAUUGCUUCCCUGCACAUUACCUGAUCUGUUUUCCCUGUGCCGUCAAUUGCCCCCUGCAAUGAAGUUGUCACCUGCACAUGCCCAAUGGAUGUCUGAAAUAUUCACAUCUCAGCUAAACUGUGGUUUAUGUUUUCACAUCUGAUGGAAGCUGGUUUGAGGGAAAACACAUCCAACAGCAGUGUUUCUCAAAAAAUUACAGGAUACAUAUGGAUUGUGGCUAACGUCAUGUACGCUCGGCUUCAAACGCCAGUGGUGGGAAAGCACUGGAGACAGAGUAAUGUGUACACAGCCUAAAAAUAGGGUUGAGCUAAUCAAGGGAAGGACACUUUUUGCCUCAGCUGGAUAAUUGCUGAGGGGAUUCUCCCUUUCUGAAAGCAACUAUAGAAUAUGCAGAGUAGCUAACUGCUAAAGAAGGAUUUGGGGGAGGGGAUUUAAAUCAAAAGAUGAAAUAUGUAUUUGAAUAGUCUGAGUCCGGGUUAUUUUGCAGCAAAGGUGGGGAACUUGUAGUCCAGCAACAACUGGAAGGCCACAACUCCCAUCACCCUUCACCACCAGGGAUGCUAGCUGGGGUUGAUGGGAGUCAGAGUACUACAACAUCUGGUUCGUCAGAGGUUCCCGUUCCCUGUUCAUUAUGGCUGAACAUAGGCAGUGGCCUUGUCCAGGGACUGUUGGAACUCACCCACGAUCACACAGUAACCUAACUCUGCCUAUAUAUUUAAUCUUGAGGUUUGUUAUGGCUAUUUGAAUGACCUGAUACAAAAGUCACAGAGGCAGGAUUUCCUUCUCUCAUCUGUCUUCUUUGUGCACCCUCCUCCUCAAGAAAGCUGUUUUUGUAGUGCGUAACUAUUAAUGGAAAUCUCAGGUGUUGCUGUCUCAAACUUUCAAAACACAUUUCUGCUAGAGAAAAUGGAAGAGAGUGAGAAUGGUGGAAUAACUGUUUAUACACUAUGCCAAAAGUAACUCAAGGGAGGAGAGGACUUGGGUAUAAAUUUACUGGCGAGGGAUUAACUGGAUCUUUUGUAUCCAUUUCUGGUGUUGCCACUGCUAGGAUCGGUUUGCAUACAUCUCACAUUAAUGUUCUAGGAACACUGGAAGUUGCAUUUCAUCUGCUCCUGCAUGGCAGAAGAGUCUCCUUUUGCAUGUGGGCAGCUUUAAAGAAUUAAGAGAGGUAAUAAUAAUAAUAAUAAUAAUAAUAAUAAUAAUAAUAAUAAUAAAUUAUUAUUUAUACCCCGCCCAUCUAGCUGGGCUUCCCCAGCCACUCUGGGAGGCUUCCCAAAAAAUAUUUAAAUACUGUAAUACAUCAAACAUCAGAAGCUUCCCUAAACAGGGCUGCAUUCAGAUGUCUUCUAAAAGUCUGGUAGUUGUUGUUCUCUGGUAGAUGGGGAGUGAAGUCCCACAGGGGUGUGUAUAUGUCUGGUGGUUCUGGUGUGGUGGUAGCCACAGCGCAGGAAAGGUGGGGAAAAUGAGUGAACAUGAACUGGGAGGAUUUUCUAAGGCAACAAGAGGGCCAAAAAAAAGGGCUUUCAAUUCUGCGUGUUCUUUUAAAGGGCCCUCUGAUUCUGAGAGGCCCCCCAAGCCUGGUAAGUCUCAUUGAACUUGAAAAGCUACAAGCUUCCUUUCUUACCCCUUUGCUUUGUUUCCUCUUAUCUCAUUCAUGUGAGGCACUAGGGCUCCUUCACCCGCCACACACACACACACAUGCACACACUGACUUGUCUUAAAACAACAUUUUAAAAGUCAGUUUGACACGUUAUAUUACAGGAGAAUGCAGAUGAAUGUUUGUGGAGAAUAUCACAUUGAUGGUUAAGAGAGAAUAUCAUUACUGAAGCAGUAAUUCAUAAUACAUGCUUGGAAUCAUUAAUCAGAGAGUAAUUAAUGGAAAGGAAAGACACCUCUCCAUUCCGGCAUUAUACAAUCAUUGAAGAAGGAAUACCUUUUUUUGUCAUUCUUGACAUGACUGGAACAUUCAUUUCCUCCUAUGGUAACUAUGAGAAACUCCAAAAGUGGUUCGAGCCAAUUUUCCACAUCUAAAUAUGCAUCUGCAGUUGAUUUAGCAUGGGUCUACUCACUGAGCCCCAAACCUUUUCCCACAGAGCAUAAAGUGGUGAGGCCUUACAGGUCUGGCCAUGCUGUUAGGCAGAGCGAGGCAGUCAUCAUGAAAGGGCAGACCCAUAUCAGUGUUGUAUUUUGCUCCAAGGGAGAUCUACAUCAUAUAUGCAAUUUAUUUACAACCCUGAAAGCAUUUGCUUUAAGAACUUACUAUCACACACACAUGUCAUAUAGAGUAUCACAAAACUGAAUGGUUUUCAGACAAAGGUGGCUUUCAGCAUCAUGUAUGGCAAUCAGGUUCAAUACCACAUUUCAAGGUCAGUCACUUUAAAUGACCAACCCUCCAUGCAGAUUAAGUGAGACUGGUGAUAAUAAUCAGCCACUGUGUUGAACUGUGCUGUCUGAAAUCACAUUGACCAACACAACAAAAUGGAAAGUUUUUCUAAAGUAAUGAUUGUAUUUUACAGCCAAAUAUCUAACGCUGGUGAUUAUGGUGAUUAUAUCAAGUCGAGGCCUGUGUUCCACUACUGGAUUUAGUGCAAUUACAACUAUGGCUACUGUUACAUGUUCUUAAUGCCCACAGAUACAGUUAUGUAUUUGUUUAGUUCCACAGUAGGCACAGUACGUGCCUUAAUUCUGCUUAAGAAUUCUGAGCCAUAGAUUCACUGACUGCUGGGUCCCCAUGUUCCUUAGUUGUAAAAUGGAACAAACAUCCUCUCAACAGAAUAAAUACAAAAGAGUGCAUAAAUCUGUUAUAUAUAUAUAUAUAUAUAUAUAUAUAUAUAUAUAUAUAUUCUGUGAGUGAUUCCAGACAGAUGUUUAUUGUGGGAUCAGUGCUCCUCGUGUAUGCAAGUUUUUCCCCAGUUUCCACAUGAUAUUGUUUUUUUGUUUGUUUUUUUAUUAUGUAUUUUGGAUUCUCAUUUCGUAUUCUUAUGUUGUGAACGACCCUGUGAUCUUUGGAUGAAGGGCAGUAAACAAAUUUAAUAAAUAAAUAAGCUGCAUUUUAUCUUUCUGGGGGAAAUCUGGUAAGUUUGAUUUUUUUAAAAACCAAAACACACAAAUCUGCUGCCAAUGAUUUGUCUGUUACAUUAAGCUACUAUCUGGAAGUGCCUUUGUUGUGUAGUGCUUGUGGAACCAUUUGCAGUUUUAGUCCCUACUGUCAGCAUGUAGCACAUCUGAAUCAGAAUUGCAUUGGUUCUUUAUUGUCCACAAACUUUACCCCUUGCCCCACCCAGUCACAUGCAGACAUGUCCCUAUUUUCAUCUGUGAAAUGUUGGAAGGUAUCCUCUUGAAAUUUCUGAGUUUCAAUAACUCGCUGAUGGGUUUUAAAAGUGGUCUGUAUUCAUGCCAACUUUAUAUCCUCCUUGUUCUGUAUUGUUCCUUUUUUUAAAAAAAAGGUGGACCAUCUAACUUUCUCUGUUUUGGUUCACAAAACCUAGGUCCUCAAAUAAUAACUCCAUUGUUUCCAGAAUCUUCCAUAUUUCAUUUGCUCCCCUUAAAAGAAUAGAUCCUCUGUAUGGCUCUUCAUAGGAAUAUACUCAAAGUACAGUGGCCAGGUUAAAAAAAAAAGAAAAAAGAAUGGGGCUCUGACAGAUGUAAUGGCUGUGUAGAAAAGAGAAUUCAUAAGGCAUAGCUAGUAGGCAUGUUGGCAUUGGGGGCAAGGCUUGGCAAAUGGGUGCAAUCAAGUUCCUCCCUCCCUUUGCAUUCACUGAAUGUAUGUAUAGGGCAUGGGUAGGCAAACUAAAGCCCGGGGGCCGGAUGUGGCCCAAUUGCCUUCUAAAUCCGGCCUGCAGACAGUCCGGGAACCAGCGUGUUUUUACAUGAGUAGAAUGUGCCCUUUUAUUUAAAAUGCAUCUCUGGGUUAUUUGUGGGGCAUAAGAAUUCGUUCAUUAUUAUUUUUUUCAAAAUAUAGUCCGGCCUCCCACAAGGUCUGAGGGACAGUGGACCGGCCCCCUGCUGAAAAAGUUUGCUGACUCCUGGUAUAGGGAGUACUUCGCUUAUCUGUUUAGCCCUUGAAAUUCCUGUUUAAACAGUCACUUGCGACCUCACAGAAAAUGACAGUGUGCCUAGAGACAGUCCAUCUUUGGUGAGAUAGAGACAUUUGAGAGAAGGAUGAAAGCUCAAUAUUCAACAGAAACAGAGGAGGUGGAUUAUGUGGGGCUUCCCAGACUGGGUGCUACAGAAUCUCAAGCAAAGGAGGUAGGUAGUAUUAUAAGACUUGAGCUAGAAUAGUUGAAGGUAAGGCUCUGAGAACCUACAGUAAGUGCCUCUCACUAAUAUCCUCGAACUUCUUAUAAAUCAUCUUGGCUUCCUUACAUGUGUUCUUAGUGUAAUGUUUGAAUCAAAACCUCUCUCUCCUCUUGCAUGUUUCGUACUUUGCAAGUGUGCUUUAACGGCGUAGCGAUCUGAGUAGGAACUGCAGUAAAUCUGCUGCUGAUAAUAACUUGAAGAUGAAACAGUCAAUCGCAGAGGAAGUCCCAGCUGACUUGUACUAAUGGCUUUGUCGUGUUAAUGGAAAAUUCUGUUUCAGAGAUGAAAGAGAGAUAUUUUAAAAGUCCUUAUGCAACACUGAAAUUGUACUGCUCAGCGCAAAAUGGGUGUAGGGACUCAAGAUAUUCUUUUAUCCACUAAAUCUCACUCUUCCUUUCUUCUUGAUUUCCUAAUGGAGCAAAAUUCUCAGAAAUAGCAUUAUAGUAAAAAAUAUGGAUUUUAUAGCCAUAAUGUGACAACUUGUGUGACUCAACUUUCCUCCCCCUCUGAUUCUCCCACCCACCACCCCAAGAAGAAAUGGAAUAAUUAGUCUCCUUAUUCAUUUACCUUCAAUAAUGCUGUGGUAGAAAAGAGAGCGAUUAGAUCAAAUACAUAUGCUGUACAGGCACUUACCCUGAUGGUUUGGCUUAAUAACAUAACUACUUAAUUACCGUCCAUCUUCAAUUAAUUUCCCCUCCUUUUACUAGACAGCCAUCAAUGGAGACCUACAAGGAGAGGAUUUUAUUUUCUGCCAGACCAGAGUGCCUGCUGUGCUAGGCCUUGCAGUCUCCGUGAGUAACAGAGCCGGGGAAAUAUUAUUGCCUUGAUGGGACUGCAGAAUUCCAUACUGAACAUGCGGAGAGUGACCAAGGAAACCUGAUGAAAUUAUUCCUAGCAUCUUGUGAAUAUUUAUAAACACAGAAUUAUUCUUGGAUCUCAGGAGAAGGCUCCACUAUCUCCUGAGAAUGAAUCGCUCUUGGUAAAUGAUGUGUAAUAAAGAUAAUGGUUUAGAUCAGUAGUGGGUAGGGCUGGAGCGAAAAUUCUAUUCAGUGUGCAUUUAAAGGUGACUCUAUCAAAUCCACCCCUUCCAAAACAAUAUGCAAACCGAAACAUAGCUAUACUUCAAAAUUCACACUUAGCUGAAUUUUGCAAUGCAGUUCCCCAAACAAACAAUGCUUAUACAAAUACACACGUUACGUGAAAGUGUGCAUAAAAUGAAUAUUUUGCUCUCACUUAAUGUAAAUGAACUGUGAAAAAGACUAUGAAUUGAAAGCGGAGACAAUGAGUGCACCUUUCCCUGUUUACCUGCUUGUUUUGUAACACCCAAAAAAUCUUUCAAAAAAACUUUUUAAAAAUACG